rnacentral:rRNA from 1 species
GACGAACGCUGGCGGCGUGCCUAACACAUGCAAGUCGUGCGAGAAAGUUCCUUCGGGAGCGAGUAAAGCGGCGCACGGGUGAGUAACACGUAGGUAACCUGCCCCCCAGUCUGGAACAACUAGAGGAAACUCUAGCUAAUGCCGGAUGAGACCACGAUCCCUUCGGGGGUUGCGGCCAAAGAUGGCCUCUACUUGUAAGCUAUCGCUGAGGGAUGGGCCUGCGGGCCAUUAGCUUGUUGGUGAGGUAACGGCUCACCAAGGCUGUGAUGGCUAGCUGGUCUGAGAGGAUGACCAGCCACACUGGGACUGAGACACGGCCCAGACUCCUACGGGAGGCAGCAGUGGGGAAUA